AGUGGUUAAGCACUCGGCUGCUAACCGAGAGGUCGGGGGUUCAAACCCACCAGCCACUC
rfam:Loxodonta africana unplaced genomic scaffold scaffold_6, whole genome shotgun sequence.